rnacentral:siRNA from 1 species
AAUUUACAAUAUGGUGCAAGAAA